AUGCCUUCCUAUGCUAGCAAGAAUGAAGAUUGGAAACCGAUGCAGUCUCUCUUUCUCUUUCGCCUUGUGAUUUCUAUUGGGACAUGAUGUACAUGUGUUUGAUUGAAGAGUUUUGUGAGCGUGGAGAAGCUAUGUAGUGUAGAUAAAUUUGGAGCUUCUGGGAAUUGAAGAAGGAAAAAGGAAGUACUAAAACAAAGUGAUUGAGGAACAUAAGUUGUGUUUUUGUUUGAUUAAGGUUGCCUUGAUGUUUGUAAUAUAUGUAAUACGGUGGAUCUCUUCCUUUAUUUUAGCUCUCUUUUUUCACUGACAAGUUAUUGUUGUGGCUUUAGAUGUUAUUAUCUAUUGAAUGAUUUGACACUGGAUGAGUUGAGGAGCGAAUGUUCAAGUUAUGACGAUUUGCAGGACUGCCUCUAUCUUCAAGACUAUCAACGAGAAUGAAGGACGCUGAAUGGUUCUUAGUUUUCAAUAAUAUUGACCUAUUGUGGAAGGAGCACUUACAAGCGCUCAAGUAACAUGGAUAGACUAAAGAUGAUUGCUUAUAAUACCAGAUGUCUUGGAUUCAUGAUGGCAAAAAUGGUGUUCCAAGAACUCAUGGACCCCUCAAAAUUCCCAAAGUUCUAGUCAUUUCUCACAAAGGUAUCAACCAAAUUUUCUAUUUAGUACGAGCACGCCUUUCAAUUAUAUGAUACCAGACCAAAGCCUUGAAACUUGGAGACAUCAUGCUAAAUAUGUCAAAAUAGCUAUCAUCUGUUAUAAGAUUAAUUAAAUGAUUAUGUAAAUAUUUUUGCAAUUAUCAAAGACUCUAUUUGCAUGAUCGGUAAAUGAUUAAAGACAGAUUUGUGUAUUC